rnacentral:rRNA from 1 species
CCUACGGGUGGCAGCAGUGAGGAAUAUUGGUCAAUGGGCGAGAGCCUGAACCAGCCAAGUAGCGUGAAGGAUGAAGGCCCUAGGGUUUGUAAACUUCUUUUAUAGGGGAAUAAAGUGAGGAACGUGUUCCUUUUUGUAUGUACUAUAUGAAUAAGCAUCGGCUAACUCCGUGCCAGCAGCCGCGGUAAGACGGAGGCUGCGAGCGUUGUCCGGAUUUAUUGGGUUUAAAGGGAGCGUAGGUGGGUAAUUAAGUCAGCGGUGAAAGUUUGUGGCUCAACCAUAAAAUUGCCGUUGAUACUGGUUGACUUGAGUAUAUUUGAGGUAGGCGGAAUGCGUGGUGUAGCGGUGAAAUGCAUAGAUAUCACGCAGAACUCCGAUUGCGAAGGCAGCUUACUAAACUAUAACUGACACUGAAGCACGAAAGCGUGGGGAUCAAACAGGAUUAGAUACCCGGGUAGUC